GCAAAAACGGGAGAGGGCAGAGAGAGAAAUCGAGAAAAAAAAAGAAGAAAAGAAAGAAAGGAAGAAAGAAAGAAAGAAAGAAAGGUGAAGAAGAAGAAGGGAAAGAGGUAGUUCAAGGUUUAUCUUCAUUUUUCCUUCUCUUUAUUUUUUUCAAGAGGUAGAUAAAUUUUAUGUUUAAGUUGCUAGGGUUUAAUUUGUGGCUAAAAUUUCAUAUUUUUGCAAGAUGAGUACAAAUUGGAGUUCAAGUCUGUUGAUUAUUUAAUUUUCAAUUUCAUUAAGGUAAGAAUACCAAUUUUUGGCAAAUCCUAAAUUUUUAUUUGGGAUUCCUAAUUAUGAAAUGUUAGUGGGAAUGAUUAUAUUGAUGGAAAACUCUCAUGAAACCAUGAAUUUGAGAAACAAGAUGAAAAUUAAAAUAGGUGGAAUUAUUGUUACUAGUUUUCAUUAGAUUGGAAGGUAUAAUUAUUUUUUAUGAGUUGGGUGAAGGUAAAUUUGGAUGUAGUAUAUAUUUGUGAAGGUAUUAGAAAGUAGAAUUAGCUCUUAUCGAUUAAAGGAAAAUUUGGGAAAAUUAUUCAAAGUAUCGAGAAGUCAAGUUUUUAGUAUUCGACUAUUAAUAUUAAGAAAUACUUAAUACAAGAUUUGUUAAAUUAGUUAUUUUACAUCGUAUUUCAGGUGGUGACGUGAAAACUAGGCAAGAUUGGUAAAUUUAACCAGAUUGCAAUCCAUAGAUUUGUUAGUGGAGAAUCUAUGUUUUCAAAAAGAGUAUUUUCUUUUUAUUUUAUAGAAGCAUGUUAAUUACAUGAAAUGCUUUAUUUUCGAGAAGUAGUAAAUGAGCAUGAUUGUUUUGAAAUUAUCAUAAAAUAAUUGAUGUGAUUAUCUUACUCUAGUGUAUUGAAGGGCUACGGCCAUGUACUAGAGUCAUGUAUAUAACUCUUAUCCAUUGAGGGGCUAUGGCCACGGGUAAAGGUAUCCAAUAUAUACUGAGGGACUAUAGCAUUGUGUAAGGGUAACUUUUAUCCACUGAGGGGCUACGGCCGUGGGUAAAAGGUAUCCAUUAUACACUGAAGGGCUACAGCUGUGUAUAUGGAUGAUUGUGUUGUUUCCAUCGUGUACACUCAGGGGCUACGGUCGUGUACAGAGUGUUGAUCAGACGAUUUAUAUACAUAUGAUUAUAUAGCUUUCAGAUCAUCAGUAGAUGUAAACGUGGGGUAUAUUUUGAUGUGAAUUUUAUGUAUACAGUGGAUUAUUAGCCUUCAGCUUACAUUUCCCCGUAUACAACUCAGCUUAUAGAAUUCAGAUUAUAGAAUUCAAAUUGUUCAGUUUUCAGAGAAAAGCUUCUAGUUUAUAGUAUUGAGCAACAACAAUAUUUCACAGAUUUUCAUAGAUGUCAGAUUAUUUAUAUCCGUUAUAUUUUACAGCUAUUGAAUUAGAAUGAAGAAUAAAGAAUUUUAUGAUCCAAUUAUGUCAAUUUUAAAAGUGUUACUAAAUUUCUGAAUUUCUCAAAGGUUUAAUAGAACAAGAAUUAUGCAUAUAUAAAAAAGUAUACUUAUUUUUAAUUUAUCCACUCACUGAGUUACAAACUCAUAUUUUGUUACUUUUUUUUCUUAGCAGAUAGCAGCUAUGCAGCCUUAGAGCCUAUUGAUCCACCGAGAGUGCCACACACACACACAUUGUCCUUAAAUGUAUGACUUAUUUCGUCAAUUUAUAUAGUUCAAAAUUUUUAGGAUACAUGUAUGUUUUGACUGAAACGUUAAUUGGUAAUUUAUAGAUCCAUACCAUGGAUUCACUGCAUAUUUAGUAUUCUCAUUGCUUUUGGGGUCUUUUGUUUAUAAAAUAUGAUAAAUGUCUUGAAUAGUUUGUAUUUUGAAGGACUAGCGUGUUAUAUUUUAAAUUAUAUGUACAAUUUUGAUAAAGUUGAUGUUUGUUUAGGUGAUUUAGUCCAUAUUUUAAAGGAAAUUCUGUCAAUUUUUAUAUAAAUAUGUUAUAGUCAAAGUAGGUCAAGUUCGCCUUGAUGGUAGGUCUAGCACUUAGUUGGUAUCUACCAUUGGCGCAUGACACGUUCGGGUGUAUUAGGGUGAUUCGGGAUGAAUCGUGUCAAUUGGUAUCAGAGCAUGGUGAUGAAGUUCUGAAUUUUUUUUGUAGUUCCCGCAUUAGCAUAUCAUGCAUAUUCAAUGUGUGUGGUCGCAUGUCGUAGUGGUAGAAAUCACAGGCUCCCAGCUCUUGCUGCAAGAUGUAUGGAACCUCAACGAUAUAAGAACAUGUUUAGUAGAUUCGUAAAUGGCUAGAAUGUAAAUAUGACGGUUGCAAAGAU
rnacentral:lncRNA from 1 species